UACGGAGGGUGCAAGCGUUGUCCGGAUUUAUUGGGUUUAAAGGGUGCGUAGGUGGUUUUCUAAGUCUGGUUUGAAAGCUGGUGGCUUAACCAUCAGAUGUGGCUGGAAACUGGAGGACUUGAAUGCGUUGGCGGUAGCCGGAACGGGUCAUGUAGCGGUGAAAUGCAUAGAUAUGACCCAGAACACCGAUUGCGAAGGCAGGCUACUACGACGUGAUUGACACUGAGGCACGAGAGCAUGGGUAGCGAACAGGG
rnacentral:rRNA from 1 species